rnacentral:misc_RNA from 1 species
AUUUUUUACUCCUUAUAAGCUGACGAAAAACUAAAAUGACGCAGAUUUUGUGUUGAUAUGAACGGCCCCAUAAUCGUACUAUUAGAUGCAUGUAAUUCUAAUAGUCCGAUUAGUAUCUCCAGGAUCCAGGCAAUAAAUUCACCGAUCUCUUCCGAGGGCACGUGCAGAGUUUUCCUGUCAUGUAAACACCAAGACAUUGAAGCACCAAGACAGGGACACCAUGAGAAUAGCACUGUGAACUCAUGCUGUUGUUCAUGCACCGUACCAAAAACAGUGCUCAAGUGCUACCAGUUUUAGCAUGAAGUCCAGAAAGAUGUUGGUGGUUCAUUUUCAUUGAACCUUUCUAACUUUACCAACCAAUUGAAUAUUUGAAUUCAUCGAAACUACUGAGAAGAUGGAUGCCAUUCCAACAGGCAACUAUUUUCACAUAUACAACUACAGCUAAGCCUUAAUCCCAACUGAAAAAAACUAGUAGAUAAUAUAGUAGCAAAAUGCAAUUGAAAUUCCCACAAAAAGUCAAUUCAAAUUGCUGAUAAUCGGAUAAAGUUUCAACCAUUGACAAGAAAAAUCUAUUUAUUGAACUUCAUGGUUCACUAAUCUCAGCUGGCAGGUAAUUAAAAGCUCCUUGUUUAGUUAUUUUGCUCACCAGCUUUCCCUCUGUCACCACUGCAACAGUAAAAGUGUGGCAGCUUGACUCUACCACAACUCCUGCAACGAAUAAUAACUGGUGUUGGUUUCAAAGCCUUUGGUCCAUUUCUUAUGCCUCUCUUAUGGGGAGACACCUUCUUUUUAGGGACAGCCAUCACUUCUAUGGAUCCACCGAAGGAGAAACUCGGGAACCCAAACUCUAAGUUGUUCCUGUAGCUGCUAUUGACGUUAUCUGGGUUCGUAUCGAACUCUGGCAAAACCAUAUCUGGAGGUGCCGUCGUGCGUUGGAGGGAGCCAUCCAACGGUGAAGGCAUUGAUGCGAUGUGAGCCCAUCUCAAGAGCGACAACGUGCACCCGUACUUACCAACUGCGGUCUUGAGCAUCCCUAUUCUCAACGCCAUUUAUACAAAGGAUGGCGAGGGCUUGCCUCUCUGUGUUGGCCUGUAUGAUGUAGAGAUCGACUACAGCAGAAGCGACGACGCGGUGGCUAAGAAGAAUGGUGGUGCUAGAAACGGAGUCGU